GCUUAACACAUGCAAGUCGAACGGUGAAAGCGGGAGCUUGCUCCUGCUGGAUCAGUGGCGCACGGGUGCGUAACACGUAUGCAACCUACCUUACAUUGGGGGAUAGCCUUUCGAAAGGGAGAUUAAUACCGCAUAAGACAGUAACUGGGCAUCCAGUAGCUGUUAAAGAUUUAUCGAUGUAAGCUGGGCAUGCGUCCAAUUAGUUAGUUGGCGAGGUAAUGGCUCACCAAGACGAUGAUUGGUAGGGGAACUGAGAGGUCAAUCCCCCACACUGGCACUGAGAUACGGGCCAGACUCCUACGGGAGGCAGCAGUAGGGAAUAUUGGGCAAUGGGCGCAAGCCUGACCCAGCCAUGCCGCGUGCAGGAAGAAGGCGUUAUGCGUUGUAAACUGCUUUUAUACAGGAAGAAACGACCCUUGCGAGGGGCAUUGACGGUACUGUAUGAAUAAGCACCGGCUAACUCCGUGCCAGCCGCCGCAGUAAAAC
rnacentral:rRNA from 1 species